rnacentral:rRNA from 1 species
GAUAAACGCUGGCGGCGUGCCUAAUACAUGCAAGCCGAGCGAACGGACGAGAAGCUUGCUUCUCUGAUGUUAGCGGCGGACGGGUGAGUAACACGUGGAUAACCUACCUAUAAGACUGGGAUAACUUCGGGAAACCGGAGCUAAUACCGGAUAAUAUUUUGAACCGCAUGGUUCAAAAGUGAAAGACGGUCUUGCUGUCACUUAUAGAUGGAUCCGCGCUGCAUUAGCUAGUUGGUAAGGUAACGGCUUACCAAGGCAACGAUGCAUAGCCGACCUGAGAGGGUGAUCGGCCACACUGGAACUGAGACACGGUCCAGACUCCUACGGGAGGCAGCAGUAGGGAAUCUUCCGCAAUGGGCGAAAGCCUGACGGAGCAACGCCGCGUGAGUGAUGAAGGUCUUCGGAUCGUAAAACUCUGUUAUUAGGGAAGAACAUAUGUGUAAGUAACUGUGCACAUCUUGACGGUACCUAAUCAGAAAGCCACGGCUAACUACGUGCCAGCAGCCGCGGUAAUACGUAGGUGGCAAGCGUUAUCCGGAAUUAUUGGGCGUAAAGCGCGCGUAGGCGGUUUUUUAAGUCUGAUGUGAAAGCCCACGGCUCAACCGUGGAGGGUCAUUGGAAACUGGAAAACUUGAGUGCAGAAGAGGAAAGUGGAAUUCCAUGUGUAGCGGUGAAAUGCGCAGAGAUAUGGAGGAACACCAGUGGCGAAGGCGACUUUCUGGUCUGUAACUGACGCUGAUGUGCGAAAGCGUGGGGAUCAAACAGGAUUAGAUACCCUGGUAGUCCACGCCGUAAACGAUGAGUGCUAAGUGUUAGGGGGUUUCCGCCCCUUGGUGCUGCAGCUAACGCAUUAAGCACUCCGCCUGGGGAGUACGACCGCAAGGUUGAAACUCAAAGGAAUUGACGGGGACCCGCACAAGCGGUGGAGCAUGUGGUUUAAUUCGAAGCAACGCGAAGAACCUUACCAAAUCUUGACAUCCUUUGACAACUCUAGAGAUAGAGCCUUCCCCUUCGGGGGACAAAGUGACAGGUGGUGCAUGGUUGUCGUCAGCUCGUGUCGUGAGAUGUUGGGUUAAGUCCCGCAACGAGCGCAACCCUUAAGCUUAGUUGCCAUCAUUAAGUUGGGCACUCUAAGUUGACUGCCGGUGACAAACCGGAGGAAGGUGGGGAUGACGUCAAAUCAUCAUGCCCCUUAUGAUUUGGGCUACACACGUGCUACAAUGGACAAUACAAAGGGCAGCGAAACCGCGAGGUCAAGCAAAUCCCAUAAAGUUGUUCUCAGUUCGGAUUGUAGUCUGCAACUCGACUACAUGAAGCUGGAAUCGCUAGUAAUCGUAGAUCAGCAUGCUACGGUGAAUACGUUCCCGGGUCU